UGUAAACCAAAGCCGGAUAUUCCUUAGAGCA
rnacentral:tRNA from 1 species